GGCAACGUUUCAGUGGUUCUUGCGAGAUUUAACUGGUAUGGUUGGAGGCGUCUUGUUCACAUGUUACCAGGGUUCUAAUUUAGACAGUAAUGCCAAAAUGUGGCGUUUAGUGGCAGAUCUCAUGAAUGAUCUCGGCAUG